UGCGGGGGGGGCAAGCGUUGUUCGGAAUUACUGGGCGUAAAGGGCUCGUAGGCGGCCAACUAAGUCAGACGUGAAAUCCCUCGGCUUAACCGGGGAACUGCGUCUGAUACUGGAUGGCUUGAGAUUGGGAGAGGGAUGCGGAAUUCCAGGUGUAGCGGUGAAAUGCGUAGAUAUCUGGAGGAACACCGGUGGCGAAGGCGGCAUCCUGGACCGGCAUUGACGCUGAGGAGCGAAAGCCAGGGGAGCAAACGGG
rnacentral:rRNA from 1 species